GGGCACGUCUCAGGGCAUGGUAGAAGCCACCAGCUCAUUCCCAGCAGUCAGGAAGGAUGAGGCCAUCCCAGACGAGUGACUGGCUUGCUGUGUGGAUUGGAUCUGUGCUAUGUAUGCCAUUUGCUGACCUGGCCAUAGAAUGGGUGCCAGCCCUGAUUAGUUUCCUAGUAGACAUGUAGCCUCUGAUACCAUGCUGAAAUGGGAGUUGCUGUACUCAGGCUGUGAGGAAAGCUUCUGCUGAUAGGUAUGGUGUGCUCAUCCUCCUGGGAAACUGGCCUGCAAGUGGUGCUGCGAUGACCCCUGUAGCCAAGAAAAGAGAAGUGAAUGGUUCAGCCAGAUGGUCCCAAACCUAUCCUGAGGAUGCUGACUGUCUAUGGUAUGGGACUUGAAGACUCUAACAUUAGAAGCAGUGUGUUGUACUUAAAAUGCUUGUUAUCUUGAAACAGAGUGGACUGAUGAAGUAACAGGCAGGGAAUCUGAGUCUCUUAUUUUUUCAGAAGUUUAGGAAUCAUUUGAGCUCUGACACAGUGAAUCCCAAUAUUAAUCAGUGAGAACUCUUCAGCCCUUCUUGAAAAGAGAAUUUCAGGUGAAUUGGACUAUUCUUAAAACAGCGAGGUACUUCAGGCUCCAGCUGUCUGCUAAGAUUUUCUGUGCCUCAGUCCAAUCACAGAAAUAGAGAGUUAAUCAAACUCAUAAAAAAUGUUCAUGCAAUGUUUGAAAUACUAAACUGGACAGACUUGAAUUAGCUACCUCUGAGGAGGGCAAGAGACUUUUAUCCCUUAUACAAGUGUAAUUCUAUUGAUGCGGAAAUAUUGCAACCAGUAUUGCUUAAUGUCUUCUUUCUUAUUAGAACAUUAAGUAGUAAUUUCCUUUCCUCCCCCACCCCGCACUUCACCUUAUGCAUUAUAUUUACUGAGAACAGCAGGUAACAAGGCAAGCCUGGCAUCUGACCAAAAAGGUUUUUUAGCUAGUGAUUCAUUAGUGUGUAUAAAAAUAGCUAACCUUGUUUAAAGGCACUUCUUACACAAAAAGAAAGGAGUUCAAUUACCGUAGCUCAUUCAAAGUGAAGAUUUAACAUCUUUACCAGGACAGUGCACUAAUCCCAUGAAUCCUGUUUAUGCUGAAAUGUAGUGCUAUUGGCAAUAAACAGCAAUUUGAGAAGUCAUAACACAAGAAAAUCAUUGUCAAGUGACUUUAGAACUCCCUAUAAAUUUCCUCUUGAUGCCUUUGGCAGUAGUGCUCAACAACAGAGUUAAAUAUUUGUAUUAGAUGCUCCUGCCUUUAACAGACUAAUUAAAAAGAUGGAAUUCUUUGAUUCUAUCUCAAAUCAUUUUAGUUCUAAUCUCUCUCGAGCAAAGUCAGCUCCAUAAAUUGAGCUAAACGUUUUUGGUUUCUUUUCCCUGAAUAGAGACUUUACAGUGUAGCAAUAAAUUCAAGCACCGGGAAAGUAAAUGUAAGUGAAGUGCUUUUAAUGAUGCUAUUGUGUAGUUGUUAUGGUUAUAAUCCCAUUACACAGACCUCUGUCUUGAAGGUUACAAAUUCUUCUAGAAAGUAUUCUAAUGGGAAAGGACACUGCUUAAUGCUUUGUGUUUAAGUGUAACAAAAUAGGGGAGGAUUUAAAUUUGAAGAACCAAGACACCAGGCUGCCUGUCAUGAAGAGCAUCUGAUUUGUAUUUCCCUAGAAAAUAUGUAAUGGGAAUAAUGGUUAUUAAGAUAAAUAUAUACUAAGCUCAUCCUUGGGACAUAGUUGUGGUUGAAUGAAUGGUGGUGAGGGUAAGGAUUUAUGCUAACUUUGCUAAGGCAAGGACUUACUCUUUUUUGCAUCACAGCUAUGUCUGGAAAGUGCUGUUCUAAUCCACACCUGCAAACUUAAGAAACAAUAACUGCAUGAGGAACUAUCAGUCUGGAAACCUGAUCCCAAACUAAAUGAAGUCAGUGUGAGACUUCCAUUGAUUUUAAUGAUUUGGAGCCAAGUAUUUCUAAGACAAAAAUCAAUAUUGUCCCACA